rnacentral:rRNA from 1 species
GACGAACGCUGGCGGCGUGCUUAACACAUGCAAGUCGAGCGGUAAGGCCCUUUCGGGGGUACGACGAGCGGCGAACGGGUGAGUAACACGUGGGUGACCUGCCCUCAGCUCUGGGAUAAGCCCGGGAAACUGGGUCUAAUACCGGAUAUGACCUUUCCUCGCAUGGGGUUUGGUGGAAAGCCUGGUCUUAAUUGAUUCGGCGGUUGGGGAUGGGCCCGCGGCCUAUCAGCUUGUUGGUGGGGU